CUGGCCGUAAACGAUGAAUGCUAGGUGUGUGUGUAGAGAUACAUGCGUGCCGGAGUUAACGCGAUAAGCAUUCCGCCUGGGGAGUACGGUCGCAAGAUUGAAACUCAAAGGAAUUGACGGGGGCCCGCACAAGCGGUGGAGCACGUGGUUUAAUUCGAUGCAAACCGAAGAACCUUACCUGGGUUUGACAUGUACGUGGUACGGAUAUGAAAGUUGAAGGACCUUUUCUUCGGAAGGGGAGCGUACACAGGUGC
rnacentral:rRNA from 1 species